AUGGAUUUUUUGCGCAUGCGCACGAGUAACUUCCGUGAAAAUGGACAUCAACAGUAAAAAAAUGUGCUGGUUACCGGAAGUUCACAAGAACCAGUUAAGCGAAGGUAACACCCUACAACAUGAACAUGAACUGAUCACUGAGACUGCAUUGCGUAUGAAAGACAGUUUUAUUUACUAGCCCGACAGGCUAAUGCAGUAUAGAUUUAUGAUAGCCCAACCUCUAAAAUUGGUAGCCCUGGGCGUUGGGC